AUUGAACGCUGGCGGCAUGCUUUACACAUGCAAGUCGAACGGUAACAGGGAGCUUGCUCCGCUGACGAGUAGCGAACGGGUGAGUAAUGCGUCGGAACGUGCCGAGUAGUGGGGGAUAACGCAUCGAAAGGUGUGCUAAUACCGCAUACGUACUGAGGUAGAAGGUGGGGACCUUCGGGCCUCACGCUAUUCGAGCGGCCGACGUCUGAUUAGCUAGUUGGUGAGGUAAAGGCUCACCAAGGCGACGAUCAGUAGCGGGUCUGAGAGGAUGAUCCGCCACACUGGGGACUGAGACACGGCCCAGACUCCUACGGGAGGCAGCAGUGGGGAAUUUUGGACAAUGGGCGCAAGCCUGAUCCAGCUAUGCCGCGUGUCUGAAGAAGGCCUUCGGGUUGUAAAGGACUUUUGUCCGGGAGCAAAUGCUGGUGGCUAACAUCCACCGGAGCUGAGAGUACCGGAAGAAUAAGCACCGGCUAACUACGUGCCAGCAGCCGCGGUAAUACGUAGGGUGCAAGCGUUAAUCGGAAUUACUGGGCGUAAAGCGUGCGCAGGCGGUUUUGUAAGCCAGAUGUGAAGCCCGGGCUCAACCUGGGAACUGCGUUUGAACUACAAGACUAGAGUGUGUCAGAGGGGGGUGGAAUUCCGCGUGUAGCAGUGAAAUGCGUAGAGAUGCGGAGGAACACCGAUGGCGAAGGCAGCCCCCUGGGGAUAACACUGACGCUCAUGCACGAAAGCGUGGGGAGCAAA
rnacentral:rRNA from 1 species